AUGGCGGGUGAAAAAGUCAAGAAGCUUGACACAAGAGAAAAAAAAACAGCAGCCAAGAAGACUGGUGGUGAUGCCACUGCAGCUGGUGCCCCUGCUGCUGGUGCAGCCAAAAAGGGUGGCCCCAAGGUUAAAAAACCCAAGAAGGGGAAGCCCCAUUGCAGCCACAACCCUGUCCUGGUUAGAGAAAUUAGCAGGUUCUCCCAAUCUGCUAUGUAUUCCAGAAAGGCCCUGUACAAAAGAAAAUACUCAGCUGCAAAAAAACCAAAGUUGAAAAGAGGAAGAAAAAGGAGAAGGUCCUUGCUACUGUCACUAAACCGGUUGGUGGUGACAAAAAUAGUGGUACCCGGGUGGUUAUGCUUUGAAAAAAGCCCAGGUGUUACCCUACUGAAGAUGUUCCUCGGAAGCUGCUGAGCCAUGGCAAAGAGCCCUUCAGUCAGCAUGUGAGAAAGCUGCAUGCCACUAUCACUCCAGGGACUGUCCUGAUCAUCCUCACC